AAAAUAGAUACCCAGGUAGUCCACGCCCUAAACGAUGCGAACUGGAUGUUGGGCACAUUACGGUGCUCAGUGUCGAAGCUAACGCGUUAAGUUCGCCGCCUGGGGAGUACGGUCGCAAGACUGAAACUCAAAGGAAUUGACGGGGGCCCGCACAAGCGGUGGAGUAUGUGGUUUAAUUCGAUGCAACGCGAAGAACCUUACCUGGCCUUGACAUCUGUCGAAUCCUGCAGAGAUGCGGGAGUGCCGCAAGGAACGACAAGACAGGUGCUGCAUGGCUGUCGUCAGCUCGUGUCGUGAGAUGUUGGGUUAAGUCCCGCAACGAGCGCAACCCUUGUCCCUAGUUGCCAACACUUCGGGUGGGAACUCUAGGGAGACUGCCGGUGACAAACCGGAGGAAGGUGGGGAUGACGUCAAGUCCUCAUGGCCCUUACGGCCAGGGCUACACACGUACUACAAUGGUCGGUACAAAGGGUUGCCAAGCCGCGAGGCGGAGCCAAUCCCAGAAAACCGAUCCCGAGUCCGGAUUGGGGUCCGCAACUCGACCCC
rnacentral:rRNA from 1 species